rnacentral:rRNA from 1 species
AACCAUCCCACGUUCGGAUUGCAGUCUGAAACUCGAGUGCAUGAAGCUGGAAUCGCUAGUAAUCGCAAAUCAGAAUGUUGCGGUGAAUACGUUCCCGGGUCUUGUACACACCGCCCGUCACACCAUGGGAGUUGGAAAUGCCCGAAGUCAGUGACCCAACCAAAAGGAGGGAGCUGCCGAAGGCAGGUUCGAUGACUGGGGUGAAGUCGUAACAAGGUACC